rnacentral:rRNA from 1 species
UACGAGGGGGGCAAAUGUUGGUUCGGAAUCACUGGGCGUAAAGGGAGCGUAGGCGGGUUCUUAAGUAAGGUGUUUAAUCCCGGGGCCCAACCCCGGACCGGCACUUUAAACUGGGAAUCUUGAAUAGUGGAGAGGUCGGUGGAAUUGGGGGUGUAGCGGUGGAAUGCGUAGAGAUCCCCAAGAACACCAGUUGCGAAGGCGGCCGACUGGACACAUAUUGACGCUGAGGCUCGAAAGCAUGGGGAGCAAACAGG